rnacentral:rRNA from 1 species
AUUGAACGCUGGCGGCAUGCUUUACACAUGCAAGUCGAACGGCAGCGGGGUAGUGCUUGCACUACUGCCGGCGAGUGGCGAACGGGUGAGUAAUAUAUCGGAACGUACCGAGUAAUGGGGGAUAACCAAUCGAAAGAUUGGCUAAUACCGCAUACGACCUACGGGAGAAAGGGGGCAACUUGUUGCUCUCGCUAUUAGAUGAGCCUAAGUCGGAUUAGCUAGAUGGUGGGGUAAAGGCCUACCAUGGCGACGAUCUGUAGCUGGUCUGAGAGGAUGAUCAGCCACACCGGGACUGAGACACGGCCCGGACUCCUACGGGAGGCAGCAGUGGGGAAUAUUGGACAAUGGGGGAAACCCUGAUCCAGCCAUGCCGCGUGUGUGAAGAAGGCCUUUUGGUUGUAAAGCACUUUAAGCAGUGAAGAAGACUCUUCGGUUAAUACCCGGAAACGAUGACAUUAGCUGCAGAAUAAGCACCGGCUAACUCUGUGCCAGCAGCCGCGGUAAUACAGAGGGUGCAAGCGUUAAUCAGAAUUACUGGGCGUAAAGCGAGCGUAGGUGGCUUGAUAAGUCAGAUGUGAAAUCCCCGGGCUUAACCUGGGAACUGCAUCUGAUACUGUUAGGCUAGAGUAGGUGAGAGGAAGGUAGAAUUCCAGGUGUAGCGGUGAAAUGCGUAGAGAUCUGGAGGAAUUCCGAUGGCGAAGGCAGCCUUCUGGCAUCAUACUGACACUGAGGCUCGAAAGCGUGGGUAGCAAACAGG